GGUGGAGGGCUCGGGGCUGGCGGCGGCGGCAGAAUGCGCCUUUGUGCGCGCCCCCGAGCGUGUCGCGGCGGGCCCUGCACCCUGCGCAUACGUGGCGAGGCCGGGGCGCUGCGGCCUGGAGAGCAAGGGUCCCUUCCCGAGGCGUGGACGCUGUCCCGAGCCCCUGUGACGGCUGCGACCACCGGCCCGCCGGGGUGGGACGGCAGGGCCCCAGAGGGUGACUUGGCUAGCCUGGGGCUGGGAGCGAGUCCCCAGGGAGUCGACUGCCGCUGUCAGUGGCCCGGCGGGCAACGGACCGAGAUCGCUGUUGAACCCACAAGAAGCCAGAUGCCAUGCCAGACCCCUGGAGUUGGUACACCCUGUCUGUUUUGUCUGUGCUGGGAGGUGACACCUCGGUGGCUACAGGGGCCGCCUGCUGCUGAUGGCCUGAGAGGGAUGAUGCUGAACAGUGAGUGUGAGCAUUUUCCAACUUAACGGGAACCCUGACAGAGUCCCUGUCAUUGUGAUGAUGACCAUGAGUUUACAGGAAAUAGACCUCAUUCAGUUGGAAAACUCCAUUUGGUUUGCAUUCUCUAUUUUUUAAGCCAUCAGCAUAGAUUAAACUUCAUCAAAUACUUCAUCCUGCAUCAAUGUAAGGAUUAUGUUACUUUUCUUCUUAACCCAGUUUCUUUCUUUUUUUUAAAAUAUUUUUUAGUUGUCAAUAGACCUUUAUUUUAUUCAUUUAUAUGUGGUGCUGAGAAUCAAACCCAGUGCCUCACUAGGCAAGUGCUCAACCACUGAGCCACAACCCCAGUCCCACCCCAGUGAGCUUCUGUAUUAAAAUUUCUGAUUAAAAUUCUCCUGGUGUUCCUGAGAUAAAUUUAUGUGACCUUAGUACUCUGUUGGAUUUUGGGUAGCUACCACUUUAAGAUCUUUUAAUUCAUGCUCAUCAAUAAAACUGGCUUACAAUUUACCAGCUUCCCUUCCUGGCUCGGAGGGAGCUGUGUGAGGUGGUCAGACGCUUUCCUUCCAGGUACUUCUCUUUCAGGAAUGACUCAUCUCUCCUAUGGAUCAUCUGUUCUCAGAGGGUUUGAACAAUCAGCACCUCUGUCAUGCAGCCUGGACGGGCCGGAGGAGGACGGUCUUGCUUCUCCGGACCUUGACUGUCCUCAGAUGGACUCUAGAAGGCUCCUCACCCUCUACGCAGCCAUCUGCCAGGUUGCACGCCGGCCCCCGAGCAGCGCCGGCAAGAAGCCGCCCUGGACCUGCCCUCGGGAAGGCUGCUGCCCUGGGUCUUCCUCUUCCUUCCAUCACGUUUCUUUUGACUUUUCUUUGAUCUCUUUUUGAUUAGCGUCCCUUCGUCCUCAGCAGCCGUCGGGGGCCCCCUCUUGCGGCCAGGGGCAGUGCAUAGCGGGACUCCGGCCCCGCCGCUAGGGUGCGCUGUGACGGGCGCGCUGCUUUCCUGGGGUGGCGGUGCGCACCAGCUGGAUGCUGGAUGCGUUGGUGGUGACAGCAGUGGUCCUCGAUUUGCAAGUGCCACGCUCAGAGCCCAGAAGAGACUCCCCACGCGAGCCUCGGGCAGGCACUGCGUGCUGCAGCUGGUGCCCCAGCUUCUGCCUCUACUUCUGGUGGCAGGGCCUUCACCUGUCCGGCACUGUGGCGCCGCUGCCCGUUGCUUGGCGCAGGAUGGAAAGAACUUGGUAUACACUUGACAAAACAAACGAAAACCUCCCACCGGGCUGGGGUCCUGGCUGGCAAGGGUGAGGCCCUGGGUUCAUUCUCAGCG